rnacentral:rRNA from 1 species
GACGAACGCUGGCGGCGUGCUUAACACAUGCAAGUCGAACGGAAAGGCCCUGCUUUUGUGGGGUGCUCGAGUGGCGAACGGGUGAGUAACACGUGAGUAACCUGCCCUUGACUUUGGGAUAACUUCAGGAAACUGGGGCUAAUACCGGAUAGGAGCUCCUGCUGCAUGGUGGGGGUUGGAAAGUUUCGGCGGUUGGGGAUGGACUCGCGGCUUAUCAGCUUGUUGGUGGGGUAGUGGCUUACCAAGGCUUUGACGGGUAGCCGGCCUGAGAGGGUGACCGGCUAUAUUGGGACUGAGAUACGGCCCAGACUCCUACGGGAGGCAGCAGUGGGGAAUAUUGCACAAUGGGCGGAAGCCUGAUGCAGCAACGCCGCGUGCGGGAUGACGGCCUUCGGGUUGUAAACCGCUUUCGCCUGUGACGAAGCGUGAGUGACGGUAAUGGGUAAAGAAGCACCGGCUAACUACGUG